GAUCGAUUAAAAUUAUUCUCUUUGCGAAAAGGGUAAUACAAUUCCACAAAGGAUUAUAUUAAUGGCCUAGAUAUUACAAGCUUGUCUGGCUUAUAAAUCAGAAUAAUACAGGAACAAAUUGGGAAUACAUCUCCUAACUAAAUUUUAAAUCCGUCACGAUCUUCGAUUCCCAGUGCAGUACUUGAAGUAGAGGGACAGUUCCCGACAAAUUAUUUGUAUUUUUGCAAGGUCCUUUCGUGACUUGUGUAUUUAUGAACAAUAUCUUAGAUCAUCAUUAAUCCAAAUAGUAUUGUUUGGAUACUGUCCUGCAACAUCCCAAAAAUCAAUGCAAAUUGGUAAUCAUUUUGUACUUGAGAAAACGGUUACAGGCUAUCGACAGUUUUUUUCUUCUCUUAUUAUUGAUGAAGUAAUUUUCGGAAUGUAAUUCGUUUUUUCAACGAUUUUUAUUAAUAACAUUUUGAAGAAUUCUCAAGUGUUCGUUUUCCUAGAAAUACAGUCCCAGUUGUGUGAAAUGCAGGCGCCAAAGAAGAGCCAAAGUGCUGAGUUCCUGAUGCGGGGAUACUGCAGCACUGUAUAGAUAUGCAAGAGAUACCGUGCCUGACUCGAUCGAUGACAAAAGACCCAUAUACCAUAUGCUGCAUUUAAACAGUAUAAGCGAGAAUUUGAGGACGCGCUACAUCGAACGUCCACCUUUGUCGUCCCCCCAGCUGAGUCCGGUCAAUGUCGACCACGGAUCUCCCUACCUACUGAGGAAAGCAAGCUGAAAGACAAGGAAAAACAGAAUAUCAAAGAUAAGUUUUCUGGAUUCAACAAGAAGGAGUUGAAAGACAUUCUCAAAAUUCAGAAAAGAUAUGCUAUUCCAGAUCCAGAAUUACGUGAACAAAUGAAAAAGGACAACAAGGACUUUAUCAUUCCUGCUUUCAGAAUGUUUUUGGACAAAUUUAAACGGCUGAAUUUCACCAAAAAUCCAGAGAAAUACAUUAAAUACUCUGUGCAAGAUGUAGCUGAAGUGGUCGACAAACUGUUUGAUAUGUCUGCUUGAUAUUGAUAUUCUAUUAUUUCUGUAAAUGUGAUUGCUUAUUAAUUUAAAAGAAACUCAUUUAUAGUUUGAAAAAAAGUUUUAACUUAGCUUAUAAAGCUUAACUUGUUUUUUUUUUCUUCAACUUUUAAACUUAAUGUUCAGAGAAAAGGACACUUUCUUUUUCAUAUAUAUGUUGAUGCAUCUGAGAUCUAAAUGAACUGACUUUUGAAAAUGCCUCUAAGAAUGACAUGGGUAUUGUUUGUAAAAUGCAUAUUCUAGUUUAGGAUCCUCUACUUUUGUCCAGUGACAUAAAUAGCUUGACCAUCAAAUAUGUUAAGGACAGAAUUCAUUUCUCCCAGAAUUUAGGCUUCUAGUCAAUGAUAUAUGUUAAGUUCAACUUGUUGGAUAUUUAAAUUUGUAAUUCAAUUGAAUUAUUUAUAUGGUGCAAGAGUCUCAUCAUCAGGAGAUAAUUUUGCACACAUGUAUUUAUAUGUGAUGUAUUUGUGCAAUACUUUGAAUAUCAUUAAAAACAUAUUAUUGUUCUACCGUAAAUAAAACUGAAAACUUAAUUUAUUUGUAAUACCCGGUUCAGUCGUCAAAACAUGCAUGGACAUUUUUUUAAAAACAUUAUAUGUUUGGCAUGCUAAAUUUACAAAAAUAAAAAAAGGGUACCAUUUUGAGACAAAGCUACAGCAUUAAUGUGCAAGAUUUAACCUUUUUUUCAAUAAAUGGUUGUAGAGUAAACAUCAAUAAACCACUU